GACGAACGCUGGCGGCGUGCUUAACACAUGCAAGUCGAACGGAAAGGCCCUGCUUUUGUGGGGUGCUCGAGUGGCGAACGGGUGAGUAACACGUGAGUAACCUGCCCUUGACUUUGGGAUAACUUCAGGAAACUGGGGCUAAUACCGGAUAGGAGCUCCUGCUGCAUGGUGGGGGUUGGAAAGUUUCGGCGGUUGGGGAUGGACUCGCGGCUUAUCAGCUUGUUGGUGGGGUAGUGGCUUACCAAGGCUUUGACGGGUAGCCGGCCUGAGAGGGUGACCGGCAUCGUUGGGACUGUGGUACGGCCCAGACUCCUCCGGGAGGCAGCGGUGGGGAAUAUUGCACGAUGGGCGGAAGCCUGAUGCAGCAACGCCGCGUGCGGGAUGACGGCCUUCGGGUUGUAGACCGCUUUCGCCUGUGACGAAGCGUGAGUGACGGUAAUGGGUAAAGAAGCACCGGCUAACUACGUG
rnacentral:rRNA from 1 species